rnacentral:rRNA from 1 species
AGGGAUCCAUCGAUCUGGUGGAUUGCUUGAGUCCUAGGAUGCCGAAGAAGGACGUGACAAACGACCAUAUGCCUUGGGUAGCUGUAGUAAGCGGUGAUCCAGGGAUUUCCGAAUGGGGGAACCCAACAGGUACUACCUGUUACCUGCAUCUGUCAAGGAUGUGAGGAGGAAGACGCAGUGAACUGAACAUCUAAGGUACC